rnacentral:rRNA from 1 species
CCUACGUGUGGCAGCAGUGGGGAAUAUUGGGCAAUGGAGGAAACUCUGACCCAGCAAUGCCGCGUGAAUGAAGAAGGUCUUCGGAUUGUAAAGUUCUUUAGUCAGGGAAGAAGUCAAUGACGGUACCUGAAGAAUAAGCUCCGGCUAACUACGUGCCAGCAGCCGCGGUAAUACGGAGGAUGCGAGCGUUAUCCGGAUUUAUUGGGUUUAAAGGGUGCGCAGGCGGAAGAUCAAGUCAGCGGUAAAAUUGAGAGGCUCAACCUCUUCGAGCCGUUGAAACUGGUUUUCUUGAGUGAGCGAGAAGUAUGCGGAAUGCGUGGUGUAGCGGUGAAAUGCAUAGAGAUCACGCAGAACUCCGAUUGCGAAGGCAGCAUACCGGCGCUCAACUGACGCUCAUGCACGAAAGUGUGGGUAUCGAACAGGAUUAGAUACUCGUGUAGUC